rnacentral:rRNA from 1 species
CCUGGCGGCCUUAGCGCGGUGGUCCCACCUGACCCCAUGCCGAACUCAGAAGUGAAACGCCGUAGCGCCGAUGGUAGUGUGGGGUCUCCCCAUGCGAGAGUAGGGAACU